CGCAGCGGGUGCGAUUGCGGUUGC
rnacentral:siRNA from 1 species